GUCUGGGAAACUGCCUGAUGGAGGGGGAUAACUACUGGAAACGGUAGCUAAUACCGCAUAACGUCGCAAGACCAAAGUGGGGGACCUUCGGGCCUCAUGCCAUCAGAUGUGCCCAGAUGGGAUUAGCUAGUAGGUGGGGUAAUGGCUCACCUAGGCGACGAUCCCUAGCUGGUCUGAGAGGAUGACCAGCCACACUGGAACUGAGACACGGUCCAGACUC
rnacentral:rRNA from 1 species